rnacentral:piRNA from 1 species
UGUAUUCUUUGGUUCAUUUUGCGAG